rnacentral:rRNA from 1 species
UGAAUACGAGAUGCUACGGCAUUGAAGCAGUGUAUGUCAGACUUCCAAGAAAAGCUCGCAAUGUCAUAAACAAGAAAUGCCUGUGCCAUAACCGACACAGGUGGGUAGGUAGAGUAUACUAAGGGGCGCGAGAUAACUCUCUCUAAGGAACUCGGCAAAAUGACUCCGUAACUUCGGGAGAAGGAGUGCCUUAUUUAAUAAGGUUGCAAUAACAAGAUCCAAGCAACUGUUUACCAAAAACACAGGUCUCCGCUAAGUCGAAAGACGAUGUAUGGGGGCUGACGCCUGCCCAGUGCCAGAAGGUUAAAGAAGUUGGUUAGCUUCGGCGAAGCUGAUGACUGAAGCCCUGGUGAACGGCGGCCGUAACGAUAACGGUCCUAAGGUAGCGAAAUUCCUUGUCGGGUAAGUUCCGACCCGCACGAAAGGCGUAAUGAUUUGGAUACUGUCUCGGAGAGGGGCUCGGUGAAAUAGACUUGUCUGUGAAGAUGCGGACUACCUGCACCUGGACAGAAAGACCCUAUGAAGCUUUACUGUAACUUGAGAUUGAAAUUGGACUUUAUUUGCGCAGUAUAGGUGGGAGACGCUGAUAGUAUUCUUGCGGGAAUAUUGGAGUCAUCAGUGAGAUACCACUCUUGUAAUGUUAGAUUUCUAACUUUGUAUCAUUAUCUGGUCAAAGAACAGUCUCAGGCGGGCAGUUUGACUGGGGCGGUCGCCUCCCAAAUGGUAACGGAGGCGCACAAAGGUUUCCUCUGAACGUGUAGAAAUCGUAUCUAGAGUGUAAAGGCAUAAGGAAGCUUGACUGUGAGACCUACAAGUCGAGCAGGGACGAAAGUCGGUCUUAGUGAUCUGACGGUGCUGAGUGGAAAGGCCGUCACUCAACGGAUAAAAGUUACUCUAAGGAUAACAGGCUGAUCUCCCCCAAGAGUUCACAUCGACGGGGAGGUUUGGCACCUCGAUGUCGGCUCAUCGCAUCCUGGGGCGGUAGUACGUCCCAAGGGUUGGGCUGUUCGCCCAUGAAAGCGGUACGCGAGCUGGGUUCAGAACGUCGUGAGACAGUUCGGUCCAUAUCCGGUGUAGGCGUUAGAAUAUUGAGAGGAGCCUUCUUUAGUACGAGAGGACCGAGAAGGACAUACCUAUGGUGUACCAGUUAUCGUGCCAACGGUAAACGCUGGGUAGCUAUGUAUGGAGUGGAUAACCGCUGAAAGCAUCUAAGUGGGAAGCCCACCUCAAGAUAAGUAUUCUCA